UCGAGCGAGCUUGCCUAGAUGAAUUUGGUGCUUGCACCAGAUGAAACUAGAUACAAGCGAGCGGCGGACGGGUGAGUAACACGUGGGUAACCUGCCCAAGAGGCUGGGAUGACACCUGGAAACAGAUGCUAAUACCGGAUAACAACACUAGACGCAUGUCUAGAGUUUAAAAGAUGGUUCUGCUAUCACUCUUGGAUGGACCUGCGGUGCAUUAGCUAGUUGGUAAGGUAACGGCUUACCAAGGCAAUGAUGCAUAGCCGAGUUGAGAGACUGAUCGGCCACAUUGGGACUGAGACACGGCCCAAACUCCUACGGGAGGCAGCAGUAGGGAAUCUUCCACAAUGGACGCAAGUCUGAUGGAGCAACGCCGCAUGAGUGAAGAAGGGUUUCGGCUCGUAAAGCUCUGUUGGUAGUGAAGAAAGAUAGAGGUAGUAACUGGCCUUUAUUUGACGGUAAUUACUUAGAAAGUCACGGCUAACUACGUGCCAGCAGCCGCGGUAAUACGUAGGUGGCAAGCGUUGUCCGGAUUUAUUGGGCGUAAAGCGAGUGCAGGCGGUUCAAUAAGUCUGAUGUGAAAGCCUUCGGCUCAACCGGAGAAUUGCAUCAGAAACUGUUGAACUUGAGUGCAGAAGAGGAGAGUGGAACUCCAUGUGUAGCGGUGGAAUGCGUAGAUAUAUGGAAGAACACCAGUGGCGAAGGCGGCUCUCUGGU
rnacentral:rRNA from 1 species